GACGAACCGAGCGAACGUUGUUCGGAAUCACUGGGCUUAAAGGGCGCGUAGGCGGGCUGUCAAGUCUGGGGUGAAAUCCCGCGGCUCAACCGUGGAACUGCCUCAGAUACUGACGGUCUCGAGGGGGAUAGGGGCGAGCGGAACUGUGAGUGGAGCGGUGAAAUGCGUUGAUAUUCACAGGAACUCCGGUGGCGAAGGCGGCUCGCUGGAUCUCUUCUGACGCUGAGGCGCGAAAGCCAGGGGAGCAAACGGG
rnacentral:rRNA from 1 species